GAUGAACGCUGGCGGCGUGCUUAACACAUGCAAGUCGAACGGGAUCCAUCGGGCUUUGCUUGGUGGUGAGAGUGGCGAACGGGUGAGUAAUGCGUGACCGACCUGCCCCAUGCUCCGGAAUAGCUCCUGGAAACGGGUGGUAAUGCCGGAUGUUCCACAUGAUCGCAUGUGAUUGUGGGAAAGAUUCUAUCGGCGUGGGAUGGGGUCGCGUCCUAUCAGCUUGUUGGUGAGGUAACGGCUCACCAAGGCUUCGACGGGUAGCCGGCCUGAGAGGGCGACCGGCCACAUUGGGACUGAGAUACGGCCCAGACUCCUACGGGAGGCAGCAGUGGGGAAUAUUGCACAAUGGGCGCAAGCCUGAUGCAGCGACGCCGCGUGAGGGAUGGAGGCCUUCGGGUUGUAAACCUCUUUUGUUUGGGAGCAAGCCUUCGGGUGAGUGUAC
rnacentral:rRNA from 1 species